GGCGUCGGUUGGCUCUCGCGAGGUUUAGGCGCAGAGCAUUGCGGCUCGGAGCGGCGCCAUUUUGGGAGCGAGGCGAGUUGUGUGACUGUGUGUGGAGAAGCGGCAAAAGGAGCUUUCAAAUCUGGGACCCUCCGCUCCCUGCUGCCGCCGUCGGGACCAGCCAGCCGGGCAGUUUGGAUUAUAAAGGCUAUGCUGGAUAUUUAGAGCCUUUCCCUUUGUUGUGGAGGAGGAGGAAGGUGGACAUUGAUCUGCAGCCUUUGUUUCAGUUGAAGAGGGGAAAAAAUAACUGGACAUCGACCUGGAAUUAUGAUUUAUUCAGUCAAGUUCUAAUCAACAGGCUUCUGAAACCAUCAGAAGACAUCUAAGAAGUAAAUUGAAAGCUUGUGAAGUCUUGAAUUUCUCUACUCAAAAGUACGAGACACCUCAUCUGUUGACACUUGUCCACAUGGAAUGGAUAAUAGGUUAAAUUUAUUAAGCUCAGCAUACUUUUGCUGUCAAAAUUAAAGUUUUUUUCUUCGAAUUAAAAAAAUUCAGGCACUGGCUAAGAUACAUUUGAGUCAUAUGCAUAACUAGUUUUAUCAACUGGUUUUAGACUACAUUAAAUGUAAUCCUUGGUUCUGUUUAAACACGGCUGAAGAGUUUCAUGGCAGAUAUUUUUACCAUUUUAUUUUUUAAAUAUUCUGACAGCCUUUUUCAUUUGCAAUGAAAUCUAUUUUCUAAAUGAAGAGACUAAUAGAACUUGGUUUUUCCUUUUCCUUUUUUCUUUUAUAUUUUAUUUGAGUGUUUUUGUAUAAUGUUGUUAACAGUCAAUAUGGCGGUAUCCAGAUAGCCAUUAUUUGCAGAUGCCUCUGUGAGCUGAAGCUUAGAAAUGUUCUUCAGUUCAGAUGUGAAAUUUGGCUUUUCAGUUUUACUCUUGGUGUCAUAAAAGAUAUAUUUAUUUCAUCAGGAGCCGAUGCUCUUUAUAGUGAGAUGUACAUGGAAUAGUAAAGAGAAGAGGCUGCAAAAAGAUAGAACAAGCUUCUUAAAUCAGACUUGAGAAAUUUUGGAAAUAGAUUUGUGAAGGCUGUAAACGAGAAGGAUGGGUAGCUGAUUUCUAAGAGUUGACCUCUCAAAUAGCUACUGAUGUAGUAUCUUCAAGGACUCGGGCUAUUAUUUCAAGGAAAACAAACUGGAAAAUACAAAUUACCCUGAACUAACACCUUGUACAGUCAUCUUGGAUUUUGUAAGUAUUGUACUGUGCAUGAAUCAAUAGACAUUUGAAUAAACUAUCCCCUCAGUAGAGACGUA
rnacentral:lncRNA from 1 species